UACGAAGGGGGCUAGCGUUGUUCGGAAUCACUGGGCGUAAAGCGCACGCAGGCGGAUUGAUAAGUCGGGGGUGAAAUCCCGGGGCUCAACCUCGGAAUUGCCUUCGAUACUGUCUGUCUUGAGUCCGGGAGAGGUGAGUGGAAUUCCCGGUGUAGCGGUGAAAUGCGCAGAUAUCGGGAGGAACACCUAUGGCGAAGGCAGCUCGCUGGGACGUUACUGACGCUGAGACGCGAAAGCGUGGGGAGCAAACAGG
rnacentral:rRNA from 1 species